rnacentral:rRNA from 1 species
ACCGUACUCCUACGGGAGGCAGCAGUGGGGAAUAUUGCACAAUGGGCGCAAGCCUGAUGCAGCAACGCCGCGUGAGGGACGACGGCCUUCGGGUUGUAAACCUCUUUUAGUAGGGAAGAAGCGAAAGUGACGGUACCUGCAGAAAAAGCACCGGCUAACUACGUGCCAGCAGCCGCGGUAAUACGUAGGGUGCAAGCGUUGUCCGGAAUUAUUGGGCGUAAAGAGCUCGUAGGCGGUUUGUCGCGUCUGCUGUGAAAACCCGAGGCUCAACCUCGGGCCUGCAGUGGGUACGGGCAGACUAGAGUGCGGUAGGGGAGAUUGGAAUUCCUGGUGUAGCGGUGGAAUGCGCAGAUAUCAGGAGGAACACCAAUGGCGAAGGCAGAUCUCUGGGCCGUAACUGACGCUGAGGAGCGAAAGCAUGGGGAGCGAACAGGAUUAGAAACCCGAGUAGUCCUUGAC